AUAUAGAGAGAGGUAGAUACUUAUUAUAUAUAUAAUCCCUCUUUACAUGUUCCUCAGUUGGGCCCUGAGCACUACAGCUUGUCUCCUUUAUCUGGAAGCUGAUUGCAUGCCUCCCCUCUCUCCCUGGCACAGCAGCUGGGAGCAACUUGCACAUGACCAGGCUUUAUCAUUUUACAUUGGAAAUAAUAUGUUUCCAUCCAGGAUUUCAGUGAAGCUUCAUGUUCAAUCUUUUGGGAAGUCAGGACAGGGGGAAAUGUUGUUAGUUUUUUCUUAACCAGAAGAACAUAGAAGCCAGAAGAGACAGUACUAAGCUAUUGUCCCCUAAACCAGUUUCUGGUGGAGAAAAGUGAGGCUCAGGGAGGUAAAAGUGUCUGCCUCAGUUGGUUCAUCAGCGCCAGUGGCAGUGCUCUAAGGAGACGCCAGGCCUCCGGUAACCACUCAGUGUCAGAAGUUCAGGCAGCAACAGGUGCAUGAGGAAGGAGUGGGGACAUUCCAGAAAUGCAGCUGUCAGGAAUUUUUUAAAUUGUUUUCCUUUCCUCUUGGGCCAAUCAUUGGGUAUUUACAUUCACUGUGGUCACCUGAGCCAGGUACCGCAAUUGCAUGUCCUGGAGUAGAAACUGAUGUGAUACCCAAGACUAACACUUAGUUCCUUCUUUGCCUUUAAGUACUAAGUGGAUCUGUGAUUUUAGGCAAGUGAUUGUCCCUUUCUGGGCCUGUGGUUUUUUUGUUUGUUUUACUUUUUUGUUUUUUAAUUAUCAUGACCAAAAGUCUUUUAUUAUUAACAACAAUUGCACACUUUUUGUUGGGAAAAAAGGUAUACAAAUUAUAAAACAGUUAACAAUGUUUCCUUAAGGAGAGAAGUGUUAAUGCUCUUCUCUAAUUAUGCUUUUAAUGGUAUUUUGUUCUAUUUUUUUAUUUUCAAUAGCUUCUUUAUUUCCCUUGGGAUAUUGAAGCUUUACUUAAUCUUAUUCUUUCUAAGUAGGGUAGAGAAUUCCUGUUUCAAGUCUCCACAAAACAAAAUCCCUUUUCUUGACAUAGUAGAAAGGACAGGUGCUUGGAUGUUUGGUUGGCAGGGGAAAGGAAAGAGUCCAGGUGCUACUGAUAGAAAUAUUCAACCAAAUCCUCCAGUUUUCGACUCCACCACUCACUGUGGUGCCUUCCUCAAGACCUUGGAGCUCCAAGUCUCUGAAGAAUAUUUCAGGCAAUGAGAGGAGUCCCUGACUAAGCACCAUCUAUUGAAAAGUCUCUUAUUUCUCCAUUAAAUUUUUUGGCACCUUCAUUGAAAAUCAGUCGAGCAUAAAUAAAAGCUGGGAUACAUGAAGACUGCCAUCCCUUGAGUCACUUGCCCUGUAGCUGCCACUGUUGGAAAAGGGCUUGCUUCUGUGUCCUUGUGCCCACUUUGAAAAUCCCUGGGAAGUCCUUGGAGUCAGAUGAGCAGGCCUCCGCCACUCUGCCAAAAAGUCUGUUCAGAAGUUUCACAUCACUAGAGAAGAGAGAAGAAGGACAUUUGUACUGGGAGGAGUCGACCGGUCCCAGUAAGGAGAAAGUAGCUACAGCGUCAUGGGUGAGCUGGGUCCCCCAAAAAGGAACUUUAAGGGAAUGGACUGAAUCAAGUCUGAGAUGUCCCCAAAGCAAGACCAAAGAACUGAGGAAGAGAAGCAUUCAUCAGAAACCAAAAUUCAGCUACAAGUGAGCAUCCAGAUGGAGGUAUUAUGAAGAGGAACUGAGACUGAGGGCAAAAGGUGCCAGCCAGAAUCCUGGAUAGGAGAGCAAGAACCAGGACCUCAUUUAAGAGACAACCUGCUUAAGGCAGAGUAAGGUGAGAUUGGAUUCACGCAAAGACCUGGAAUUCAAGUAGGUUAAUGAACAGACAGUGUGUGCCUAUACCACGAAUUUACAAUAAUAAUAAGGGUGCUAAUAAUCACAUGGAAUUGUAGAGUAUAAUGAAAAUAUACACACUGGAGAGAAAUUGCACGGGUUGGCAUCUCAGCUUUGUCAUUUACUAUAACAGUGACCUUGGGCAAGUUAUUUAACCACUCUCUGCCUCAAUUUCCUGAUCAGUAAAAUGAGCUAAUAAUACUUUCUUUUUAUUUUGAGAUGGAGUCUCACUCUUUCACUGAGGCUGGAGUGCAGUGGUGCGAUCUCGGCUCACUGCAGCCUCCACCUCCCAGGUUCAAGCGAUUCUCCUGCCUCAGCCUCCCCAGUAACCAGGAUUACAAACAUGCACCACCAUACCCAGCUAACAUAAAUAUGAAUAUAUUAUAUAUAUAUUUGUACUUUUAGUAGAGAUGAGGUUUCACCAUGUUGGCCAGGCUGGUCUUGAAUUCCUGACCUCAAGUGAUCUGCCUGCCUCGGUCUCCCAAAGUGCUGAGAUUACAGGCAUAAACCACCAGGCUUGCACUAUUGAUAAUUAUUAUAGCAUAAAGUUUUUCUGAGGACUAAAUGGGGCAAAAUACGUAAAACACUAAUUAUAAUUAUUGGCAAAUCCCAUAAUGCUUGUUGUUAUUAGUAUACUUAGAAUUAUUUUAACAUUAAAAACUGAAAACUGAAGCUCUGAGAGUCUGUGUGACUUUGAGGAUUAAAGAACUGAAAAAUGGUAGAAGUAGAAUUUGAACUAAGAAAGUACGGUUAUUGAAUGCAUGGAUUUAAUCCCUAUUAAAUACUUUAUCUUCCAAAAUCUAUGACUCUUUAGUCUUCUUUGUUAACAAAACCUACUUUACGAAAUACAGAACUCUCAGUUGUAUAUAUCAAAUAAUAUUUGUCUGUAGCUGAAUUCUGUGAACGUAUCCAGUCAUCCAUUCCAUAGUUGUAAGAGCAUUACUUUUUGAGACGGAGUCUUGCUCUGUUGCCCAGGCCGGAGUGCAGUGGCGCGAUCUCGGCUCACUGCAGGCUCCACCUCCUGGGUUCACGCCAUUCUCCC
rnacentral:lncRNA from 1 species